rnacentral:rRNA from 1 species
UACAGAGGUCUCGAGCGUUGUUCGGAUUCAUUGGGCGUAAAGGGUGCGUAGGUGGCAGGGUAAGUCAGGUGUGAAAUCUCGGGGCUCAACCCCGAAACUGCACUUGAUACUGUGGUGCUCGAGUACUGGAGAGGAGAUUGGAAUUUACGGUGUAGCAGUGAAAUGCGUAGAUAUCGUAAGGAAGACCAGUGGCGAAGGCGAAUCUCUGGACAGUUACUGACACUGAGGCACGAAGGCCAGGGGAGCAAACGGG